CGAACGGACGCACUGAAGCCGCGAACGGAUCCGCUCUUGCCGCAUGCAUCCAAAAGCCACGCCCAACUAAUCCACCUCUGCCGCACGCAUCCUUAUCCUCUCGUCGUUCACUCCUGCAGUCGUUUCUCACCUCGUUCACUCCCGUAACCAGGACGGGCGUCGCACAGUCAAUGUCGCCUCGCCCACCUGCCGAUGCUCCCUCUCUCCCUCCCUCCCUACCUACUCCUGCGACCUCCAUGCCACCGAGAGAGCGAUUGCGGAGACUUUCCAGCAAGCGGCGCCUCCCUCCUCUGCCUCCCUCCCCUCGCUCUGGUGGUCUCCAUGGCAACGGAGAGAAGCACGACGGCGAUGGCUUCCAGCGAGUCACCUGUUGCAACUGCUGGCCAUGUGCACGCGCGUGAGCAGCAGAGCAGGUGCGAGCGAGAACUCCUCGGAUGCAGUCGAGGCAACAUGGGAUAGAGUCCAAAAGGUGUGAGUCUGUGUGGACAGGGAGAGGGUGCAAGCUAGGACUCCCCAGGUGCAGUCGAGGCAGCACAGAUGAGGUCCAAGUGGUGUGAGCGCACAUAGACAAAAGCGAAAUGCAGUUGUGCGUAGAGAGUUGAGUACAGGUUUGGCCGUCCAGACGUGUGGGUCGGUCCAGACAUCCAGGCGCUACGUAAAACAAUCGGCCCAAACUCCAAGAUGAAAUAUCGUAACACAACGUCAACACAAUCAGAAUUCUGUACUUUCA